rnacentral:rRNA from 1 species
GUAACAAGGUUUCCGUAGGUGAACCUCCGGAAGGAUCAUUG